rnacentral:rRNA from 1 species
ACAAUGGGCGAAAGCCUGAUGCAGCCAUGCCGCGUGUAUGAAGAAGGCCUUCGGGUUGUAAAGUACUUUCAGUUGUGAGGAAGGGGGUGUCGUUAAUAGCGGCAUCUCUUGACGUUAACAACAGAAGAAGCACCGGCUAACUCCGUGCCAGCAGCCGCGGUAAUACGGAGGGUGCGAGCGUUAAUCGGAAUUACUGGGCGUAAAGCGCAUGCAGGUGGUUCAUUAAGUCAGAUGUGAAAGCCCGGGGCUCAACCUCGGAACUGCAUUUGAAACUGAUGAACUAGAGUACUGUAGAGGGGGGUAGAAUUUCAGGUGUAGCGGUGAAAUGCGUAGAG